AUCUCUGGCUCCUCUUCAACAUACGUAUAAAUCUUUCGCCUUUUACUAAAGAUUUCCGUGGAGGGGAGCAUUUGAAGAGUCUUCGACUCAAUUUUUUUACGUAGCCUGACGAAAGUUAGGCU